rnacentral:rRNA from 1 species
UGAGGAAUAUUGGACAAUGGACGAAAGUCUGAUCCAGCUAUGCCGCGUGCAGGAUGACAGCCCUACGGGUUGUAAACUGCUUUUAUACAGGAAGAAAAACCCCGACGUGUCGGGGCUUGACGGUACUGUAAGAAUAAGGAUCGGCUAACUCCGUGCCAGCAGCCGCGGUAAUACGGAGGAUUCGAGCGUUAUCCGGAAUCAUUGGGUUUAAAGGGUCCGCAGGCGGUUUUUUAAGUCAGUGGUGAAAGCCUGCAGCUCAACUGUAGAAUUGCCAUUGAUACUGAAUUUCUUGAAUCUAAUUGAAGUGGGCGGAAUAUGACAUGUAGCGGUGAAAUGCUUAGAUAUGUCAUAGAACACCGAUAGCGAAGGCAGCUCACUAAGUUAGUAUUGACGCUCAGGGACGAAAGCGUGGGGAUCAAACAGGAUUAGAUACCCUGGUAGUCCACGCUGUAAACGAUGAUUACUCGUUUUCGGCGAUAUACAGUCGGAGACUAAGCGAAAGUGAUAAGUAAUCCACCUGGGGAGUACGAUCGCAAGGUUGAAACUCAAAGGAAUUGACGGGGGCCCGCACAAGCGGUGGAGCAUGUGGUUUAAUUCGAUGAUACGCGAGGAACCUUACC